UACGGAGGAUGCAAGCGUUAUCCGGAAUGAUUGGGCGUAAAGCGUCCGCAGGUGGCUAUGUAAGUCUGCUGUUAAAGAGUGAGGCUCAACCUCAUAAGAGCAGUGGAAACUACAUAGCUAGAGUGCGUUCGGGGCAAAGGGAAUUCCUGGUGUAGCGGUGAAAUGCGUAGAGAUCAGGAAGAACACCGGUGGCGAAAGCGCUUUGCUAGGCCGCAACUGACACUGAGGGACGAAAGCUAGGGGAGCGAACGGG
rnacentral:rRNA from 1 species